AUUGAACGCUGGCGGCAGGCCUAACACAUGCAAGUCGAGCGGAUGAAGGGAGCUUGCUCCUGGAUUCAGCGGCGGACGGGUGAGUAAUGCCUAGGAAUCUGCCUGGUAGUGGGGGAUAACGUCCGGAAACGGGCGCUAAUACCGCAUACGUCCUGAGGGAGAAAGUGGGGGAUCUUCGGACCUCACGCUAUCAGAUGAGCCUAGGUCGGAUUAGCUAGUUGGUGGGGUAAAGGCCUACCAAGGCGACGAUCCGUAACUGGUCUGAGAGGAUGAUCAGACACACUGGAACUGAGACACGGUCCAGACUCCUACGGGAGGCAGCAGUGGGGAAUAUUGGACAAAGGGCGAAAGCCUGAUCCAGCCAUGCCGCGUGUGUGAAGAAGGUCUUCGGAUUGUAAAGCACUUUAAGUUGGGAGGAAGGGCAGUAAGUUAAUACCUUGCUGUUUUGACGUUACCAACAGAAUAAGCACCGGCUAACUUCGUG
rnacentral:rRNA from 1 species